GAUGAACGCUAGCGGCAGGCCUAAUACAUGCAAGACGAACGGUAAGUUGAGUAGCAAUACUUAGCCAAGAGUGUCGUACGGGUGCGUAACACGUAUGCAACCUACCCUAUACAGGAGGAUAGCCUAGGGAAACCUGGAUUAACCCUUCAUAGUAUUAUUGGAUGGCAUCAUUUGAUAAUUAAAACUGAGGUGGUAUAGGAUGGGCAUGCGUCUGAUUAGUUAGUUGGCGGGGUAAUGGCCCACCAAGACGAUGAUCAGUAGGGGUUCUGAGAGGAAGAUCCCCCACACUGGCACUGAGAUACGGGCCAGACUCCUACGGGAGCAGCAAGUAGGGAAUAUUGGGUCAAUGGAUGCAAGUCUGAACCAGCCAUGCCGCGUGCAGGAAGGAAGGCCUUCUGGGUUGUAAACUGCUUUUGCCAGGGGAUAAAAUUUCCAUGCGUGGAAAACUGAAGGUACCUGGUGAAUAAGCCACGGCUAACUACGUGCCAGCAG
rnacentral:rRNA from 1 species